rnacentral:rRNA from 1 species
AACGAACGCUGGCGGCAGGCUUAACGCAUGCACGUCGAGCGCCCCGCAAGGGGAGCGGCAGACGGGUGAGUAACGCGUGGGAAUCUACCGUGCCCUACGGAAUAGCUCCGGGAAACUGGAAUUAAUACCGUAUACGCCCUACGGGGGAAAGAUUUAUCGGGGUAUGAUGAGCCCGCGUUGGAUUAGCUAGUUGGUGGGGUAAAGGCCUACCAAGGCGACGAUCCAUAGCUGGUCUGAGAGGAUGAUCAGCCACAUUGGGACUGAGACACGGCCCAAACUCCUACGGGAGGCAGCAGUGGGUAAUAUUGGACAAUGGGCGCAAGCCUGAUCCAGCCAUGCCGCGUGAGUGAUGAAGGUCUUAGGAUUGUAAAGCUCUUUCACCGGUGAAGAUAAUGACGGUAACCGGAGAAGAAGCCCCGGCUAACUUCGUGCCAGCCGCCGCAGUAA